GGAGCGGCGCGGAGGACGCAGGCGCGAGCUAAGGAGCGUCGUCUGGUUUCCGCCCUUCCGCUAACCAACCGCCAUUCUUCCCGAGGAAUCGGCGCGUGGUAGCCGCUGGCGUCCUGUCCUCAGUCAGACUGCGGGGGAACUUGGGCGGCGCCCUUGGCGUUUGUCCGCUCCCUGUUGCUCACUGCUCUAUCUGUUGGCCGGCGCUUCCGCUGCUUGGCUUCGGCGGUUUUCCUUCACCUCAGGUACAGGCGUCGCAGCAAACGUAGUCCAAGGCCGUCACGUGCUGUUGGUGUGCUGGGCGCAGUGCUAGCACAGUGGGGGCGCGUUCACUCUACGUAAUCCUCACCACGGUCCUCUGAAGUCAGUAGUAUUGCCGUUGUCAUCCUCCAGAAGAGGAAACGAAGACUUUCUCCGUGACUACCGUGACGAAAGUGAAAACUAGUGAUCUACAAAGAUGGGAUUAUGGAAGAAUAUGAUGAGUCAGUUAAAUUAUGGCAAAAAGUGAAAAGAGAGAAUAUAUACUUAUCAACUACAGAAGAUACAAACAUAGUUUAAAAUUUAUGAGGAAACAGUUAAGUAUCUCCUGCAAGCAGUUGGAAAUAGAGACACAAGACAGAAACUAAGCCCUGGCAUGGCUCAGAAUGAAAAGCGAAAUACAAAAAAUAUAAAAUACAAAUUCAAGAAGGAAAAUGAAAGAGAUACUGUAGAAAUAGUGUAAGCAACAAGAGCAAUAAAUAUGAAAAUCUCGAAGUUAUUAAGUUUCUCGAGAAAGCUAAACCAUCAAAAUCGGGACAUGACAGAAAAUAGACAGACUGAUAACCGCUGAAGAAGUUGACCGAGUAAAUGGUAAUUUCCUCCCAAAACAACUCUAGGCUUUCAAUUCCCUCAUUUGCUGUCCUUCAAGACUCUCUUGGCUAUUCUUGACCGUUUGCUCUUUCACUUAAAUUUUUAAAUCAGCCUUUUCACAUUUCAAAAUAAAUCUUGUCAUUAUUGUGAAUGGAACUGCAUUGAAUUUGUAAACUAACCGAGAAGAAUUGUCUCUGUGAAUUUAAGUUAUCCUGCCCACGACGAAAGCUGUUAUUUAAGUCUUCUUUAAUGUCUUUUAAUUAGGACAUCUUUUUUUCUGUAAAGAUCCUACACAUCUUUUGUUAGAUGAAUCAUUGAAUAACUUACUUUGGGGGUAUAACUUUAUAAAUUACAUGUUCUAAUUUUGUUGGUAUAUAGGAAUGUAAUUGAUUUAUACAUUGAUCUCCUAUCCAGCAAGAUACUAAACUUAGUUAUUUAUUCUCUUGGAUUCUCUGUAUAACUGUAGGCAGUUACACAGUGUGUGAAUAAUAAUAAAUUUAUUUGUAUUUCCAGUAAAGGUGAUUUUUUUCUUUUAAGAAUUUUAACACAUGUAUAGAUAUGUGUAAUAAUUGCCAUACUCAGGACAGAGAAUCGUUUAAUCACCCCCAUCCAAUCGACUUCCUGCUAUUCCUUUGUACUCACCCCAACAAUCCAUUAAUCCAGGCCACUGCUGAUCUGCUCUCCAUCCCUAUAGGGAUGAAAAUAUCAUAUAAAUUGUUUUUUUGAUAAUACCAUGUAAGUGGAAUCAUAUUGUAUAUAACCAUUUGAACUACUAUCAUGCUUUUGAGAUUCAUCCAAGUUGCUGUGUGUACCAAAAGUUCGUUCCUUUUUAUUCCUGAGUAAUACUCUGUUAUAUGAAGGUGCCACAGUUUGUCAUUCAUCUGUUGUUGUUUCCAGUUUAUGGUGAUUAUGAAGGGAGCUUCUAUAAAUAUUUGUGUUUCGGUUUUUGUGGGAGCAUGUCUUUAUAUCCUCUAGGGAAGAUACAUGGGAGUGGGGUUUCUGGAUCAUACUGUAAGUAAAUUGCCAAGUGAUGUUCCAGGAGGGUUGUAUUGGAGUUCUGGGUGGUUCAGUUGGUUAAGCAUCUGACUCUUGAUCUUGUUAUGCCCAAGAUUGCAAAUCUGAGAAACCACCAAGGAGCCGCCACCGAUGCCAAUGCACAAGGGUUUAUUAACAAGCUCGAGCCUGGGUCCAAGUAUACCAACACAGUGGAGCAGGGACUUGGACCCCGAGGUGGGUGGGUUACAGCUGGGAUUUUAUGGGCAGGUUUAGGGGAUUUUCAGAAGAGGUGGAGGAAUUUUUUCAUUCCGAUAUGGGGGAAAGGGUGGGGGAGUUUCUUAAGAUCUGUUUUCAUUCCAAUACUGGACUUUCUGUCUCCAUCAGGAGCGUUCUGAGCUCUGUUUUCAUUCUGAUACGGGACUCUCUGUCAAGGGCGUUCUGCGUUUUUCCUGUAAAGUUUCAGCUCUUAUUCACAGGGGCCUGUGAUGGCUGUACUUGUGUUAAUGCUAAACUUGAGGUGGAGUGGCCUUAAUUUUCUCGGCCUCCACAGAUCUCAGCCCAGGUGGUGAUCUGAGAGUAGGUUUGAGCCCUGUGUUGGUCUCCAUGCUGGGUGUGCAGCCUACUGAAAAAACAAAUCCAGAAUGUUUAUAUGGUUUUGCAUUCCUAGCAACAAUGUAUGACAUUUCCAGUUGUUCUGCAUGUUUGCUACUGUUUGGUGUUUUAAUUUUAUUUAGCUGUUCUAAUAG